ACAAACGCGACCAUGCGACCGAGCGUUUCGUGCGCCUUGAAGAAAGCCGCACACAGCCGGGGUCUGGCCUGGGUUUAAGUCUUGCCAAGGCGGUCAUGAAGUUGCACGGUGGCGCGCUUCGUCUUGAGGACAACGGACCCGGCCUUCGCGCCGUUCUGGAAUUUCCGCUGCCGCAUCGCGAGGUUGGCUAGAGCGCAUCCCGAAAAGUGUGAAACGGUUUUCGGAAAAGAUGCGCGUCAAAACAAAGGAUUAGAGCGCCGAUCUGAUUCAUU
rnacentral:misc_RNA from 1 species